rnacentral:hammerhead_ribozyme from 1 species
CUCCAGCUGACGAGUCCCAAAGAGGACGAAACGCAUGUCCUCGAC